GUCACUGAUUGUCUUUGUAUACAGUCAUUAAUUGUUUUUUAAUGCCGCCUUCGUGAGGACACGCCCCCUCAUGACGCAGACCCGUCCUAGCCUGAUGACUGGCUGAUUUCAAAAAAGGAAAAUGGCGCGUACUCACAGACACGAACACACCGAGGGGGACGUCUCACCGUCCCGGUGUCGCCACCAGCUCGUGUCACCGCGGGGCUCAGUCCGUUGUUCGUUAAGUUCUCUGUCGUUCACCGGAUCCGGGUUCUAUCCUCCCCCGGUCACGGCCCGGGCCGCUCCUCACCGGACUCUGCUGCUGUCGUCCGACUUCCGGGAACUCGAGGCAGAAGACGGACAAGAGGAGGAGAUGAUCACAGCAUGGAGGAAUGAAGAGGAAGUGUGACGAAGAGAAGCUCAAGAGAGAAACAUUUGGAGGUUUCUGAGAUGCAGAUGAGAUGAUAAUCGUCGUGAGCCACAGGGGAGAAGGAGUGUUGGCGAGGGCGACGGCCCAUGAUGCACCUGGCUCCUGUGACAUACUUGUCACCUUAAUUGGCGGAGGCACCAAAAAAAACCUGCCUGAUCCCAUAUUCACUGUUCUGUUUCACAACAUAUUCAACAAGUAGAUUCUUCCAGAGGCCAAAAACAACUUCCCUCUUACAGUUAUUAAGGGAAUUAACAGAGUAAAGACCGAUGUCCGUCACGAAGGCUUCACAUUGUAAGUGAAUGAGCUCGUCGUGUCCCAACUAGGCAGCAG
rnacentral:lncRNA from 1 species